rnacentral:tRNA from 1 species
ACCUAGCUGGCUCAGUCGGGAGAGCAUGUGACUCCUGAUCUCAGGAUUGUGAGUUCAAACCCCUCAUUGGGCA